rnacentral:rRNA from 1 species
AUUGAACGCUGGCGGCAGGCCUAACACAUGCAAGUCGAGCGGAUGAAGGGAGCUUGCUCCUGGAUUCAGCGGCGGACGGGUGAGUAAUGCCUAGGAAUCUGCCUGGUAGUGGGGGAUAACGUCCGGAAACGGGCGCUAAUACCGCAUACGUCCUGAGGGAGAAAGUGGGGGAUCUUCGGACCUCACGCUAUCAGAUGAGCCUAGGUCGGAUUAGCUAGUUGGUGGGGUAAAGGCCUACCAAGGCGACGAUCCGUAACUGGUCUGAGAGGAUGAUCAGUCACACUGGAACUUAGACACGGUCCAGACUCCUACGAGAGGCAGCAGUGGGGAAUAUUGGACAAUGGGCGAAAGCCUGAUCCAGCCAUGCCGCGUGUGUGAAGAAGGUCUUCGGAUUGUAAAGCACUUUAAGUUGGGAGGAAGGGCAGUAAGUUAAUACCUUGCUGUUUUGACGUUACCAACAGAAUAAGCACCGGCUAACUUCGUG